rnacentral:rRNA from 1 species
GUGGGGAAUAUUCCGCAAUGGACGAAAGUCUGACGGAGCAACGCCGCGUGAGUGAAGAAGGGUUUCGGCUCGUAAAGCUCUGUUGUCGGGGACGAAUGUGCAGUAUUUGAAUAAAGUACUGUAAUGACGGCACCUGACGAGGAAGCCACGGCUAACUACGUGCCAGCAGCCGCGGUAAUCCGUAGAUGGCAAGCGUUGUUCGGAAUUAUUGGGCGUAAAGGGAGCGCAGGCGGGAAGCUAAGUCGGUCUUCAAAGUGCGGUGCUCAGCCCCGUGAUGGGAUCGAAACUAUCUUUCUUGAGUGCAGGAGAGGAAAGUGGAAUUCCUAGUGUAGCGGUGAAAUGCGUAGAUAUUAGGAGGAACACCAGUGGCGAAGGCGACUUUCUGGACUGUAACUGACGCUGAGGCUCGAAAGCCAGGGGAGCGAACGGGAUUAGAAACCCCAGUAGUCC